AUUGAACGCUGGCGGAAUGCUUUACACAUGCAAGUCGAACGGCAGCACGGGUGCUUGCACCUGGCGGCGAGUGGCGAACGGGUGAGUAAUACAUCGGAACGUACCCUGACGUGGGGGAUAACGUAGCGAAAGUUACGCUAAUACCGCAUACGUCCUGCGGGAGAAAGCAGGGGAUCGUAAGACCUUGCGCGUUUGGAGCGGCCGAUGGCGGAUUAGCUAGUUGGUAGGGUAAAGGCCUACCAAGGCGACGAUCCGUAGCGGGUCUGAGAGGUCGACCCGCCGCACUGGAACUGGGACACGGUCCAGACUCCUACGGGAGGCAGCAGUGGGGAAUUUUGGACAAUGGGCGAAAGCCUGAUCCAGCCAUUCCGCGUGAGUGAAGAAGGCCUUCGGGUUGUAAAGCUCUUUCGGCAGGGAAGAAACGGUUUUGGAUAAUACCCAGAACUAAUGACGGUACCUGAAGAAGAAGCACCGGCUAACUACGUGCCAGCAGCCGCAGUAA
rnacentral:rRNA from 1 species